rnacentral:rRNA from 1 species
GAUGAACGCUAGCGGCAGGCCUAAUACAUGCAAGUCGAACGGGUAGUAGCGAUACUAUUAGUGGCAGACGGGUGCGUAACACGUAUGUAAUCUACCUUUCACUGGGGGACAACUUAGGGAAACUUGAGCUAAAACCGCAUAAUACGAGAUAAGGCAUCUUAUUUUGUUAAAAUCUGAGGAGGUGAGAGAUGAGCAUGCGACCGAUUAGCUAGUUGGUGCGGUAAAGGCGUACCAAGGCGACGAUCGGUAGGGGAUCUGAGAGGAUGACCCCCCACACUGGUACUGAGAUACGGACCAGACUCCUACGGGAGGCAGCAGUAGGGAAUAUUGGGCAAUGGAAGGAAUUCUGACCCAGCCAUGCCGCGUGCAGGAAGAAGGCGCUAUGCGUUGUAAACUGCUUUUAACAGGGAAUAAAAGAGGGAUGCGUCCUUGAUUGAAUGUACUGUGAAUAAG